CAGCUGCACAACGAGAUGAGGCUGGUCAUUGUCAUUUUCUGAGCUGUGAACGGGCAGGAAGCUGCACAACGGGAUGAGGCUGGUCAUUGUCAUUUUCUGAGCUGUGAACGGGCAGGAAGCUGCACAACGAGAUGAGGCUGGUCAUUGUCAUUUUCUGAGCUGUGAACGGGCAGGAAGGUG